CUUCUCUGACGUCACAUUUUCCCGUCCCCGGUGCGGCACUUUUAAAUCUCUUCAGAAUUCCCUGGACCAACCCCUGUGUUACCCGAGUGAUUGGAGUGUGAAGAGGAGCGUGAGGAGUGGAUGGAGUGUGUGUGUGCGUGACUAUCAGCGUCUUUCCCGUUCGUGUGUGGACCCCCGGAGCCCGGCUUUCCCCUCACUUUUGUAAAUAAUCACCUGGUGUAUCAUAAUAAAGACUCUUGUGCUUUCAA